rnacentral:rRNA from 1 species
GAUGNACGCUAGCGGCGUGCNUAACACAUGCAAGUCGAACGUGAGAGGGUACUUGUAUCCUUGAAAGUGGCGGACGGGUGAGUAAGACGUAGGUGACCUGCCUUGAAGUGGGGGAUAACCAUUGGAAACGAUGGCUAAUACCGCAUGCGUUGGUGACGAUGGGAAUGGUUGUCAACAAAGUUUUGGCGCUUUGAGAGGGGCCUAUGGCCGAUUAGCUAGUUGGUGGGGUAAAGGCCUACCAAGGCGAUGAUCGGUAGCUGGUCUGAGAGGACGAUCAGCCACACGGGAACUGAGAGACGGUCCCGACUCCUACGGGGGGCAGCAGUGAGGAAUAUUCGGCGAUGGGGGGAACCCUGACCGAGCAACGCCGCGUGGAGGAAGACGGUUUUCGGAUUGUAAACUCCUUUUCUAUGGGAAGAGCAAGGACGGUACCAUAGGAAUCAGUCACGGCUAACUACGUGCC